UACAGAGGUCUCGAGCGUUGUUCGGAUUCAUUGGGCGUAAAGGGUGCGUAGGCGGCGUGGCAAGUCUGAUGUGAAAUCCCGGGGCUCAACCCCGGAACUGCAUUGGAUACUGCCAUGCUAGAGUACUGGAGAGGAGAUUGGAAUUUACGGUGUAGCAGUGAAAUGCGUAGAUAUCAGGAGGAACACCAAUGGCGAAGGCAGCUCACUGGGACGGUACUGACGCUGAGACGCGAAAGCGUGGGGAGCAAACAGG
rnacentral:rRNA from 1 species